GUCAAAUUUUCGUCUGAACUAUGAAAAGAGAUGCAAAAAGAGCUAAUGAUCGAGCAUUCAACCAAGAAGAACGGCUAAAAAAUCCUUGAAUUCUCCCCAUUAGGGUAUGAAAUUAUUAAAAGAGAAAACAAUUUAUUUAUCUACACUAACCCACUUAAAGGUGGAGAAGGGAUAACCCAUUACAGAUAAGGAAUAAGAAAGUUACUUUUUACUCAAAAAGGGUAAAAGAUGGCCAUCCAAAUUUGGAGAAGGAUGGCUUGCGAGCUCUCUCUCCUGUUUCGUUCGUCCAAAUCGCCUUUUGUCUUCUGGAAGCUUCUUUUGACCCUAGUGGUGGUAUCUUCAAUGCGAUCGUGGAAAUUCGUCUUCUUCCCUUUCUGUAGCAUCGAGAUCUAUCGUCUUCUUCCUAUAUCCGGUGCUGCUCGCUCAACGUCGUGGCUCUUUCUUCUACUUCUUUGAAGUUUGGACAUGAACAGAGAUGGCCGGAGAAGAUAGAUGUAGGGCGGCACUUUGCUUUGCUUUCACCGGAAUCAGGUCUUUAGUGUCCGAUUAGUAUUGAUUGGAUCUAAGGUUCCAUUGUGAAUUUCAUAUAAGCUUUAUCUUUU